GCUUUCUUAGCUCAAAGGCAGAGCGAUUGCAAUAGCAAUGGAUAGGGGUUCAAUUCCCUUAGAGAGCG
rnacentral:tRNA from 1 species